rnacentral:rRNA from 1 species
GUGGGGAAUAUUGGACAAUGGGCGAAAGCCUGAUCCAGCCAUGCCGCGUGUGUGAAGAAGGUCUUCGGAUUGUAAAGCACUUUAAGUUGGGAGGAAGGGCAGUAAGUUAAUACCUUGCUGUUUUGACGUUACCAACAGAAUAAGCACCGGCUAACUUCGUGCCAGCAGCCGCGGUAAUACGAAGGGUGCAAGCGUUAAUCGGAAUUACUGGGCGUAAAGCGCGCGUAGGUGGUUCAGCAAGUUGAAGGUGAAAUCCCCGGGCUCAACCUGGGAACUGCCGCCAAAACUACUGAGCUAGAGUACGGUAGAGGGUAGUGGAAUUUCCUGUGUAGCGGUGAAAUGCGUAGAUAUAGGAAGGAACACCAGUGGCGAAGGCGACUACCUGGACUGAUACUGACACUGAGGUGCGAAAGCGUGGGGAGCAAACAGGAUUAGAAACCCUUGUAGUCC